AACAUACAUCUCGAACUUUCUUCUUCUUCUUCAACAAUCGAGCUCUGCUUCUGGCUUUUCUCCUAGUCCAAUUCCCAUUUAAUCUUCAUCAUCUCCACCACAGCCCUCGCCGACUCCAUCCCCACAACCCGUCACCGAUUCACUUUCGCCCAAAACUCUAUCUCCGAUUUCCCUUCCUCCAUCUCCGUCGGACGCUCCAAUGAACGCACCAUCCUUCUUCAUGUCCGACGCUACCGCAAUCAUCUCCGUCUCAAUCUCUGUCGGCCGACGACACACCUCCAAUUCCUUCUCCAGCGUCGUCGAAUUCGAGCGAUGUUAACCACAGCAACCUCAAUGCAGACGGAGACGGAACGAAGAACUCCUCUGGACCUCUGGAGGAAUGAGUCUGGCAAAGAAGGCAGGGAUCGUACUUGGAUUGAUCGUUGGAUAAAAUUCAUCGAUCUCAGUAUGGAUACGCCGCCAAGAGAGAGAUUCUGAAGAACUACUCAGGCUCUCAUACACAAAAGCUCUUAAAGGGAAAGUCCAUCAGAAUGAUGGGAGUGUCUGAACAUGAGGUUGAUGAAGUUUUACAACAUGCAAAGUCAAACUUAAGGAUAGCUGGAUUUGAUGAAGAGGAAAUGAGAUUGAGGCAGCGAAUGUCAUACAGGCCUCAUACUCUGAAACUUCCCAAGGACCUUAUAUAUUUUGUGAUUUCCGAACAUUUCAACUUCCAGGAAUUGAGGUAUUCUAAAAUUAUGUAUGAGGAAAUGUGAAGAUAUUGCAAUUAUCAAUUUUUGGUAGAGGCUUUUAACUUCAACUUCUUGUUACUUGUCUGCAAUUGAACCCUUCGGUGUCAGAGGCAUUGAAAAGAAUGCACAUGCUUGCUGCAGAUCCUGGAAUUAUUUCUGUCAUGAACAAGCAUGGCGUGUGGGAAUCAUGACUGAGAUGGCCCCUGUUGGUUAUGUUGGCAUAAGUCCCAAAUGCAUCCUCAGCUUCAAUAAGGUAAUCACACUCUAAACAUCAGAAUAUAUGAUGAAAUUAGUGGCAAUAGUAUUUUCUCUUUUCUUUUAAUUUCUGAUUGACACUUGGUUGCUGUUGUAGAACCACGGGCAGGAGAUAUCUCUGCGCCUCCGAACUGAUGACCUUAAGGGUUUCAAGAAAUAUGAAAGUAUCAUGCCCGUGUAGUUUUUUAAUGUAUCAGAUGUCUUUGCAAUUGUUUCUGGUGAAACUGUGAACAAUUGGAGGUGGUUUCUGCAAAGGAUAUCAGAUGUCUUGCUGGGCCUUUUUUUGGGUUUUUUGAGUUUUUUGUAUGAAAUGGUAUUAACAAUGUACUUCUAUGAUAUGGUAUUAUCGAUGUACUUCUAUGAUAUGGUAUUAACAAUGUACUUCGAGCUUGCUGGGCUUGUUUUGAGUUUUUUGCGUUGGGCUUAUUUUAAGUUAAUCAAUGGCAGUCAUGUAAUUUAUAGGAA